rnacentral:lncRNA from 1 species
UUGGGCAGUAGCGGAGAUGAAGAAAAACCAGCACACUAGAUGGUAAAGGAGCAGCCAACAAGAUGCUCUUUACAAAUAUUUUUUAACUUCUUAAAAUAUCUCAUUGAGGAUUCCGUUCCAAGAUGGCCAAAUAGGAACAGCUCUGGUCUGCAGCUCCCAGUGUGAUCGACGCAGAAGACGGAUGAUUUCUGCAUUUCCAACUGAGGUACCUGGUUCAUCUUACUAGGACUGGUUGGACAGUGGGUGCAGCCCACGGAGGGUGAGCCGAAGCAGGGCAGGGCAUCGCCUCACCUGGGAAGCGCAAGGAGUCAGGGGAUUUCCUUUUCCUAGCCAAGGGAAGCCGUGACAGAUGGUACCUGGAAAAACGGGACACUCCUGCCCAAAUACUGCGCUUUUCCAAAGUCUUAGCAAAUGGCACACCAGGAGAUUAUAUCCUGUGCCUGGCUCGACAGAUCCUAUGUCCAUGGAGCCUUGCUCACUGCUAGUGCAACAGUCUGAGAUUGACCUGCAAGGCAGCAACCUGGCAUGGGGAGGGGCAUCCGCCAUUGCUGAGGCUUGAGUAGGUAAAUAAAGUGGCUGUGGAAGCU